rnacentral:rRNA from 1 species
GACGAACGCUGGCGGCGUGCCUAACACAUGCAAGUCGAACGGGGUAAUUACUUCGGUGAUUACUUAGUGGCGAACGGGUGAGUAACGCGUGAGAAACCUGCCUUUCAGUGGGGGACAACAGUUGGAAACGACUGCUAAUACCGCAUAAUGCUAUUUGGGGGCAUCCUCGAAUAACCAAAGCUUUAUGUGCUGAAAGGUGGUCGCGCGUCUGAUUAGCUAGAUGUCGGGGGAACGGCCCACCAUGGCGACGAUCAGUAGCCGGUCUGAGAGGAUGAACGGCCACAUUGGGACUGAGAUACGGCCCAGACUCCUACGGGAGGCAGCAGUGGGGAAUAUUGGGCAAUGGGGGAAACCCUGACCCAGCAACGCCGCGUGAAGGAAGAAGGCCUUCGGGUUGUAAACUUCUUUUACCAGGGACGAAGAACGUGACGGUACCUGGAGAAAAAGCAACGGCUAACUACGUGCCAGCCGCCGCCGUAACAC